CUUCACCACUCCUCUACUGCGCCGCCGCCGCCCGGGACUGCCUUGGCAUCAGAAACAUAACUACUAAACUAUUACAAGCAUUCAUCGCACAUUACAAAUUUACACUCAUUUGCUUCCAAAUACAACCAGCUUAUUACAGAUUUUGUUUCCUUCUUUUCUACACCCCUAAGCUAUGCUGACUCGAGGUAUUUCUAUCUCUGGUCUAAGUGGUAGGGCGCUAUCUAUCGAGCUACGUCCUUUCAUCGCACUGCCGCGCCGCUCAUGUGUGGACCUGAAAAAUAUAGGGGUGAGAACUACAAACAUAGUUCCCAGUGGGUACGGCCACCCAAGGGAAAAACUUGACCCACCAGGUCCAAAGGA
rnacentral:lncRNA from 1 species